UACGUAGGGUCCGAGCGUUGUCCGGAAUUAUUGGGCGUAAAGAGCUCGUAGGCGGUCUGUCACGUCGGGUGUGAAAACACGGGGCUCAACUCCGUGCCUGCAGUCGAUACGGGCAGACUAGAGUUCGGUAGGGGAGACUGGAAUUCCUGGUGUAGCGGUGAAAUGCGCAGAUAUCAGGAGGAACACCGGUGGCGAAGGCGGGUCUCUGGGCCGAAACUGACGCUGAGGAGCGAAAGCGUGGGGAGCGAACAGG
rnacentral:rRNA from 1 species